UGAGUAGCUUGCUAUGAGCUGUUUUAGCGGCGGACGGGUGAGUAACGCGUGAGCAACCUUUCCCAGACAGGGGGAUAACGCACCGAAAGGUGCACUAAUACCGCAUAAGACCACGGCACUGACAUGGUGCAGGGGUCAAAGGAGCAAUCCGGUGGAAGAUGGGCUCGCGUCUGAUUAGCUAGUUGGUGAGGUAACGGCCCACCUAGUCUUCGAUGGAUAGGGGUUCUGAGAGGAAGGUCCCCACAUUGGAACUGAGACACGGUCCAAACUCC
rnacentral:rRNA from 1 species